rnacentral:rRNA from 1 species
CGAAAGCAUGGGGAGCGAACAGGAUUAGAUACCCUGGUAGUCCAUGCCGUAAACGUUGGGCACUAGGUGUGGGACUCAUUCCACGAGUUCCGUGCCGCAGCUAACGCAUUAAGUGCCCCGCCUGGGGAGUACGGCCGCAAGGCUAAAACUCAAAGGAAUUGACGGGGGCCCGCACAAGCGGCGGAGCAUGCGGAUUAAUUCGAUGCAACGCGAAGAACCUUACCAAGGCUUGACAUGCACCGGACGCUGCCAGAGAUGGUGGUUCCGCAAGGUCGGUGCACAGGUGGUGCAUGGUUGUCGUCAGCUCGUGUCGUGAGAUGUUGGGUUAAGUCCCGCAACGAGCGCAACCCUUGUCCUAUGUUGCCAGCGGGUUAUGCCGGGGACUCAUGGGAGACUGCCGGGGUCAACUCGGAGGAAGGCGGGGAUGACGUCAAAUCAUCAUGCCCCUUAUGUCUUGGGCUUCACGCAUGCUACAAUGGCCGGUACAGAGGGCUGCGAUACCGUAAGGUGGAGCGAAUCCCAAAAAGCCGGUCUCAGUUCGGAUUGGGGUCUGCAACUCGACCCCAUGAAGUCGGAGUCGCUAGUAAUCGCAGAUCAGCAACGCUGCGGUGAAUACGUUCCCGGGCCUUGUACACACCGCCCGUCAAGUCACGAAAGUUGGUAACACCCGAAGCUCACGGCCCAAC